rnacentral:rRNA from 1 species
UGGGGAAUUUUGCACAAUGGGGGAAACCCUGAUGCAGCGACGCCGCGUGAUUUAGAAGGCCUUCGGGUUGUAAAAAUCUUUUCUAUGGGAAGAAAAUGACAAUACCAUAGGAAUAAGGACCGGCUAAUUACGUGCCAGCAGCCGCGGUAAUACGUAAGGUCCGAGCGUUGUCCGGAAUCAUUGGGCGUAAAGGGUACGUAGGCGGGUAAGCAAGUUAGAAGUGAAAUCCUAUAGCUCAACUAUAGUAAGCUUUUAAAACUGCUCAUCUUGAGGUAUGGAAGGGAAAGUGGAAUUCCUAGUGUAGCGGUGAAAUGCGCAGAUAUUAGGAGGAAUACCGGUGGCGAAGGCGACUUUCUGGCCAUAACCUGACGCUGAGGUACGAAAGCGUGGGUAGCAAACAGG